rnacentral:rRNA from 1 species
UACAGAGGUCUCAAGCGUUGUUCGGAUUCAUUGGGCGUAAAGGGUGCGUAGGCGGCGCGGUAAGUCGGGUGUGAAAUCUCGGAGCUUAACUCCGAAACUGCAUUCGAUACUGCCGUGCUUGAGGACUGGAGAGGAGACUGGAAUUUACGGUGUAGCGGUGAAAUGCGUAGAUAUCGUAAGGAAGACCAGUGGCGAAGGCGGGUCUCUGGACAGUUCCUGACGCUGAGGCACGAAAGCUAGGGGAGCGAACGGG